GAAGUGACCUUCAUAGCCGCCGAAAGUUUGGCCAUGUUGAGUGGCUAAUGCGCGGCAUUCAAGGUCGGCUCGAAGCUGUACGGAACAACACGUAAAAUCCCUAGUUCAGAAAAGUCUCCCUGUUUAGUAAAAAUACUCUCUGCUUAAACGAAAUACGAAAGGUAUAAACGGAACAACUGGUGUCAGAAGUGUCAGUUGUGAGAAUGCUUAAAUAUAGCUAAAAGAUGACGAAGGAAUUGCCCAAGUGGGGCUUACCGAUGGAAGAGCAGUCUUCUUGGAUUCUUGGAUGAGCAAGACCUGUGGCGGACAACGGCCAAUUGAUAGCAAUGCUGCAACAGUUGAUGCUGGUCAAGGUUCUGAAGGAUCAAGGUGACCAACAGCAACAGGCAGACGGUGAAUGGAAGUGAAGGAUCAAAGUGAAGCUCAAUCAAAGAAAUUAUAAGCCAUGGUGCAGCGAGCACAAUGGUUUCUGGCCUCGACUUGGACACAAACUUUCCGUGGAUGUCGGGCUGGCAGAGGCAUCCAGGAGACCAUCAGGGAGCCAUUUCUCUUCCAACAGUCUUGUCAUAACUGUGAUUGAGCUUUAUCUAGAUCCUUUACCUGCUGCUGCAACAGGAUCUGUGGCUGUUGGUCACCUUGAACAUACUAAAUUUAUCAAAGUGAACGCACCUGCUAAAAACUGCAAAAAAAAAACAACCAAAAAUAUUAAAAAUAUAAAAUUUGGCUGGACCCACCCAACCAAAACGUUUGGUUUAUUGAUCUCGCCCUAACAACAAGGAAAAUUUCAGGAUCACCAGGGUUGGCAGAUAACGGAUGUAAAUGGAGCUGUAUCUUAAAGAAAAACGCAGACCACCAAAUUGGUCCUCCAACUCCCAAGGUUCUCCUGCAGAACCGCAGAUUGAUACGAACUAUGGAUAGCUCAGGUUCUUAUGCAACUGCAGAGGUUAGUAGCGGUCCUCACAAAGGCAGUAGCAGGUAUCCUGCAAUCCCUUGACCAACUGCGUAACGGAGGUAUACUCCUAACCUCGCAGUCACUCUAAAAACCAUAAUGCUGUCGGACCUAAGGAUCGGAUUCUAGAACGCCCGUAGCCUGUAUCAUAACACUAUUGAGCUGCCUUUAUUUUUACAGCGUUAUAAUAUUGACAUCAUGUUAGUGACUGAAACCUACCUUUACCCAGGGAAAAACUACACGCUCCACAGAUACAGGUGUUAGAGUGUUACACCCAUCAAACAAGGCCAGAGGAUGAGCACCUGUACUCGUUCGGAGGGAUAUUUGACACUAUCAACCUCAGCUCCGACCACCUGCCUCUCAUUGCUUCCUUAUCGACUACUCCGCAGACAAUCCCAGCCAUGACGAGGCUGAAACCCAACUUAAACUCGCAACUCUUACACACAUAUUUAAGGACCGCUCAGGAUGUAGAUGCUGCAGUCGAUACUCUUGUGACCAAAGUCUGUGACGCUUCUGCAUCUGCUACCACCUGCGGCCCUCAAGGCAGUCGAACUUCACAGACUGGAAACCACAGAGGAGGCGCUUCAAGCGAGAUCAUAGGGGUUCUUCCGCUCAAGAAACGACUUAGGCGCGAGUACAUAUGCACCAGUAACCCGCAGGUCGACAGAGUCUACAGGGGAGUGGCUAACCGGGUAAUGAAGAAAUUAACAAAACAGAAAACCAAGGCCACGGAUAGACUGCUUUCGCAGGCCAAAGCAGACGGACACUCCCACAUACGUCCUUUGGAAUCUGACAGCAUGCUACAAGAGGAAACUUAAACCUCGCUUUCCGGUACGGCUGACUGCUCAUGGGCAAGCACGAGAGACUGCUCGCCAAGAUCAUAGUGAUGCUCAAGCCUUAGCUGUAUGAAGCUAUCAAAAACUUUCUAAUGGAGAGGACCGUUCGCGUAGUCCAGGAUGGUGCAGCUUCAUUGACCAAAUUCAUCAAGGCGGUAGUCCUGCCUGAAGGCAAGAGUUCUUCUUCGACCUUGUUUACACACAUUUUUUUUUAAAUCAUCGUAGUUUUACCUUUGACUGUUGUAUAAGUUGCUCUAACAGUAAAAGCAAACUACCUAAUUGUAUCCGUAAUAAUAUUUUUCAUUCAAAUAAAAUUUACACAAAAAUACUUGAAUCGCCUCAACUUGAUCUAACUUAUCUAUAUGAUCUAAAUCGACUUCAGAAUAAAUAACUUAUCUAUCUUUUAUCUAUCUUAAAUUCGUAAAUGUGUCUGUUUAUGCUCUUUCUUUGUGUGGCAGUGAAUAUUUAGCAGGUUCCUUUAACAAAUUACCAUCGCAUUGCUUGAAGGUUCAAUGUCGCUACACCUGCUUUAACGGCCAAGAUAAAGAAAUCGUCAGCGAUAUUCAGUACGCCAUAUCCAAUUCUAAUCAUUCAGAUACGUGUGAUGUUAUUGAAGAGCUUCGUCUAUACAACUAUGAAUUUAUUAAUGCAACAGUGAAGGUCGGAUUCUUAUCAACUAUUGGUGAUAAAGUCAAAAAUAUCUAUAUAGCUAUCUCAAAUAUCACAGUUAUUGAGAGAGGUGCUUUUGGUGGAGAAGAUUUAAAGGGAAUUUCUAUUACUCAGCGGGAAGAAUCCGUACAAUGUAUAUAUCCAAAUUUUCUCGACAAUGUAAAAUUUCAAAUUGAGCACUUAGUAAUACGAGUAGGACUACAAUGUGUAAGAAAUGUCACAGCUCAUGACCCUGUAAUGGGAUUACUCGCCUUUGUUGACUUCAGCUACAACAACUUCAGUACCAAAUUACUUCAAGACACGUUCAGUAAACUAACCAUGGUUGAACGGUUAGUUUUAUCGAAUUCAAAUAUCAAUUACCUACCACAAUAUAUUUUCCAAGAUUUACGCGAUUUUCUAUUGGCUAUUGGUAAUCGUAGAUCAGACCAUUCCGUCGGGCAACUCCCACAAAAAAAGGACAUAGGUACCCGACGAGUGGUCUGAUCGUGAUAAAAAUAUAUGUUGGCGCACACCAAACCGAUGGGCACACAAAAUAUAACGAAAAUCGUUAGAGUCAUUUCGGAGAAGUUUAUCAACAAAGACCUCCCAAAAUGAGGACAUAGAUACCCGAAGAGUGGUCUGAUCGGGAUAAAAAAUAGAUGUUGGACGAUGCGUUCACGUAACCGAUAAGCACACAAACCGAUAAACACGAUAAGCACCGGAAAUCGGUCGAGCCAUUUCGACGGAAGUUCAAUAACAAAUAUUGUAACCCUAGAAUUGCAUAUAUUUGAGCAAUGCCAAUAAGACGCAGAGGGGCUAAUUUCAGUCGACAAACGAUCAGGUCGAGCCAUUUCGGAGAAAUUCAAUAACAAAUAUUGUAACCUUAGAAUUGCAUAUAUUUGAGCAAUGCCAAUAAGACGCAGAGGGGCCAAUUUCAGUCGACAAACGAUCAAGUCUAGAACCAUGCGAGAUAUAAGAGUACGAAUUUCAGGUGAGCUGGCGCAGUUACGUGAAUCACUAUCGCAAGAGGCCCGAGAUCAACGAAAUCAACAAAGGCAACUAGAACGGAGAGUAACGCGCAGAUACAUAGUCGACAGACUUAGAGGAAUUGACCAACAACGCAAAAAUCGUAGAGUAAUUGCCCAACAGCGACAACAAUUUCAAUGAGCAUUUACAUCAAAUUCAUACAUCAGAUAUAUCUCUCGUCGAAAAACCAUUCAGUUUGUUUGUGUUGACUAAAGACGGAUGAGAGAUGAUCUGUAUUGUUAAGUAAUCUUAUAAUUGACAAGUAAAUCCCCGCAUACUUAUA
rnacentral:sRNA from 15 species